GGGAGGACAAAAAAUAAAAUAACAAAAAGGAACCUAUUAAAGAUUCCACACACACCGAGCACAAAAUCUCUAAAUUCACAGUAGAGCACACACACCUCAGGCCUUACACACUCACCAUCGAACAUGGUACACACCUAGAUUGAAAAAUCAGAAGAAAAGCAAAAAAUAAAAUAAAAUGGAGCGAUUGUGAGAGGAAACUGAGUG
rnacentral:lncRNA from 1 species